rfam:Felis catus isolate Cinnamon breed Abyssinian chromosome E1, whole genome shotgun sequence.
GCCUGGGUGGCUCAGUCAGUUAAGCAUCUGACUUCGGCUCAGGUCAUGAUCUCACAGCUUGUGGGUUCAAGCCCCAUGUCCGGCU